GAUGAAGAACGUAGCGAAAUGCGAUAAGUAAUGUGAAUUGCAGAAUUUAGUGAAUCAUCGAAUCUUUGAACGCACAUUGCGCCCUUUGGUAUUCCGAAGGGCAUGCCUGUUCGAGCGUCAUUAUAACCACUCAAGCAUUUGCUUGGUAUUGGGGUUCGCGGUCUCGCGGCCCCUAAAAUCAGUGGCGGUGCCUGUCGGCUCUACGCGAGUAAUACUCCUCGCGAUUGAGACCGGUGGGUAGCUUGCCAACAACCCUAAUUUUCUCAGGUUGACCUCGGAUCAGGUAGGGAUACCCGCUGAACUUAAGCAUAUCAAUAAGCGGAGGA
rnacentral:misc_RNA from 1 species